GACGAACGCUGGCGGCGUGCUUAACACAUGCAAGUCGAACGGAAAGGCCCUGCUUUUGUGGGGUGCUCGAGUGGCGAACGGGUGAGUAACACGUGAGUAACCUGCCCUUGACUUUGGGAUAACUUCAGGAAACUGGGGCUAAUACCGGAUAGGAGCUCCUGCUGCAUGGUGGGGGGUGGAAAGUUUCGGCGGUUGGGGAUGGACUCGCGGCUUAUCAGCUUGUUGGGGGGGUAGUGGCUUACCAAGGCUUUGACGGGUAGCCGGCCUGAGAGGGUGACCGGCCCCAAUGGGACUGAGAUGCCGGCCGCACGGCUACGGGAGCCAGCGGUGCGCAGUUGUGCACAAUGGCCGGCAGCCUCAUGCAGCAGGCCCGCGUGCGGGAUGGCGGCUGUCGCUUUGUCAACCGCCUUCGCCCGUGCCGAAGGCUUAAUCUCGCUAAUGGCUAGGCAGGCACCGUCUAACUGCCUG
rnacentral:rRNA from 1 species